UACCUAACCCUAAAUCCCCACCCAUGCCUCCCACUCCCCUCCUCUGCCUCCGCCUCCGUCGCCGCCCCUCUCACACAAUUAUCCAUUAUCUCUAGCAAUUCUAGUCCUCCGUAUGGUCUCUACUUGUUUGUUGACACCAUACCUUCCCACCAUUAGGCACCAUACCUAUGGCCAGGAGCUCGCCUUGCCAUCUGACCUCCUCCCACCGCUCAUUCUCAAUUUGUUGCCAACUGAAAGCCUUGAUCCUUUCCUCCUAGUUUUAGCUUUGAGAUCGCAAGAAGCUACGGCAAAAGCCACCAGAUCUAGAUAGAUCGGAAUACCCUCAACACACGCCGCUUCUCGCCGUCGCUUCUCUCCAGAUCUAUGGUGGGCCUUGACGGAUGCCCGUGGUGUAGAUCUCACGGCAAAGCUGGAUCACGACGCUUGACCAGAUUUCCCCCAAUCCGGGAGAGAAGGCACAGCAUAUAAGGUACCUUCUUAGCAAAUCCUAUAAUUGUUAGCAAAAUCAUCCAUUGAGAAGAUGUCUCAUGAUUUUAACAGGAGGUGAUUUCAGGCUACCAGAUCUAUAGAUGACAACACCCUCGGCUCUCAUUGUAUGCACAUCUCUAUUAUUGUACAAUCAUUGCUCACUAGAGCUACGGCGGGACUUAAGUAAAUCUCCAUAGCAUAAACCUAAUGACAAGAAUGGAUCAUGAUGCCCAACUAGAUCGACUCAAUACCGCAAGGUCAAGCAUGACACAUGAGGUACGUAAUUAACCAAUCCUACAAGAUUCUCAAAAUCAUGCAUUGAAAAUAAUUCUCGUCGUGGCCUUAAUGAUGAGGCGAUCACAUGACACCACAUAUAUAUGGCAACAUCCUCGCUUUUCAUCUUUGUGUAAAUCUAACGAAGUAGAUGGGUCAUGAUGCUUGACUACAUGGCCUAAAACACGAGAUCAAUCAUGAUAGAUCAUGCACCUAGAUACUUAGUAGAUCCCAAAAGCAUCCGUAAAAACAUGCUUUGAAAAAUGAAAGAAAUGAUAGAACUCAUUAGUUAGAUUACCAAGGCAAAAUUAUGAUAUUUACAUGUCAUAUCUACAGGAGCAAUCGGGGCUACAGCACCUUCAUCCAUUUUAUGGAACCGUGAUUCCAAGAUGAGGCAAGUCUUGUGUUAGCUUUGUGAGAUGAACAUCCUUCUAAAUAUUUAUCUUAACGUGUCCGAUUGCUUGAUAUCGAAUAAGUCACUCUCUUAGAGAUUAGCCACUCUGAUUUAGUUAACAAAAGGGCAUUAUGAUUUUUCAAAUGAUUUCCUAUGGAGAUUAUGUGACUUGUGGGGAGAUGAUUAAGGUAGACCAUGCCUCAUUUAUACCCUACUAGUGUCUUGUGAUGUGUGAAGUUACUUUGGGCACCCUCCUCACAAAAAAAACUUUUUAAUACCUGGUGGAAUGUUUAAAUUAAUAGUGAGAAAUUGAUGUGAAUAACAUAUAUACUCCUUUGUUAGCGUACCAUCUGAUCCUAGCUAGUUCAGUCAAAUGAACUAAAUAAUUGCAUGCCUAUUCGUAGAUACAUGUCGUUUUGGACAUUGACUUUGUCUCUACAUGCACCUUUGAAUGUUACGUUAUACAUGAAUAUACUAGUAAAAUAAUAUUUGAAUUAUGUUAGGGGGGUAUUUUUCAUGUCAAUAAAUUGCUAGCUAAGGUAGUUAUCUUUUUUCUUUUGCUAAACCAAUCGGUUGUGUGUUCCCAAACAUCAACUCACUUCAUGGUGUUGUUAUUUAUGAGAACAGAUACAAGAACAUCAAAGAAACUAAAAGAAAAGAAACAUAAUAAAAAUAAUAUAAGUUGGGUUCGGGAACACAACCAAUUUUUUUCACAAACGAUAGCUAACCAUCUGAGGUGGCAAUGUUUUCAAUGAAUCCUAGAAUGGUUUUGUUCGUUGACAUGCAUACUUCGACAGGCUCCGGUCGCAGACGAGGACAUACCAUGAGAACCACUGCAAAGUAUUGAUGUGUUAGUGGUUGGCCUCCUCUCUCCCACCUACCUGGUUUUAUUUUCCUUGGUUGUUCAGCCUUGUAUUGCUUUACUUUGUUUGACACUUCAUUUGGCUGGCUGGCCAACAGUUUGUUUGAUAUCGAACCGAGGGACUUCACUUAUUUAAAGUCGGGCAAGCACCUUUCAUCUAAAAAUAUCCUAAACCAUGGCG
rnacentral:lncRNA from 1 species